rnacentral:rRNA from 1 species
ACACAUGCAGUCGAACGGUGAAGCAGAGCUUGCUCUGUGGAUCAGUGGCGAACGGGUGAGUAACACGUGAGCAAUCUGCCCCUGACUCUGGGAUAAGCGCUGGAAACGGCGUCUAAUACCGGAUACGAGCUGCGACCGCAUGGUCAGUAGCUGGAAAGAAUUUCGGUCAGGGAUGAGCUCGCGGCCUAUCAGCUUGUUGGUGAGGUAAUGGCUCACCAAGGCGUCGACGGGUAGCCGGCCUGAGAGGGUGACCGGCCACACUGGGACUGAGACACGGCCCAGACUCCUACGGGAGGCAGCAGUGGGGAAUAUUGCACAAUGGGCGAAAGCCUGAUGCAGCAACGCCGCGUGAGGGAUGACGGCCUUCGGGUUGUAAACCUCUUUUAGCAGGGAAGAAGCGAAAGUGACGGUACCUGCAGAAAAAGCGCCGGCUAACUACGUGCCAGCAGCCGCGGUAAUACGUAGGGCGCAAGCGUUAUCCGGAAUUAUUGGGCGUAAAGAGCUCGUAGGCGGUCUGUCGCGUCUGCUGUGAAAACCCGAGGCUCAACCUCGGGCCUGCAGUGGGUACGGGCAGACUAGAGUGCGGUAGGGGAGAUUGGAAUUCCUGGUGUAGCGGUGGAAUGCGCAGAUAUCAGGAGGAACACCGAUGGCGAAGGCAGAUCUCUGGGCCGUAACUGACGCUGAGGAGCGAAAGGGUGGGGAGCAAACAGGCUUAGAUACCCUGGUAGUCCACCCCGUAAACGUUGGGAACUAGUUGUGGGGUCCAUUCCACGGAUUCCGUGACGCAGCUAACGCAUUAAGUUCCCCGCCUGGGGAGUACGGCCGCAAGGCUAAAACUCAAAGGAAUUGACGGGGACCCGCACAAGCGGCGGAGCAUGCGGAUUAAUUCGAUGCAACGCGAAGAACCUUACCAAGGCUUGACAUAUAGAGGAAACGUCUGGAAACAGUCGCCCCGCAAGGUCUCUAUACAGGUGGUGCAUGGUUGUCGUCAGCUCGUGUCGUGAGAUGUUGGGUUAAGUCCCGCAACGAGCGCAACCCUCGUUCUAUGUUGCCAGCACGUAAUGGUGGGAACUCAUGGGAUACUGCCGGGGUCAACUCGGAGGAAGGUGGGGAUGACGUCAAAUCAUCAUGCCCCUUAUGUCUUGGGCUUCACGCAUGCUACAAUGGCCGGUACAAAGGGCUGCAAUACCGUGAGGUGGAGCGAAUCCCAAAAAGCCGGUCCCAGUUCGGAUUGAGGUCUGCAACUCGACCUCAUGAAGUCGGAGUCGCUAGUAAUCGCAGAUCAGC